rnacentral:rRNA from 1 species
CCUACGGGAGGCAGCAGUGAGGAAUAUUGGUCAAUGGACGAGAGUCUGAACCAGCCAAGUAGCGUGAAGGAUGACUGCCCUAUGGGUUGUAAACUUCUUUUAUAUGGGAGUAAAAUGUUCCACGUGUGGGAUUUUGUAUGUACCAUAUGAAUAAGGAUCGGCUAACUCCGUGCCAGCAGCCGCGGUAAUACGGAGGAUCCGAGCGUUAUCCGGAUUUAUUGGGUUUAAAGGGAGCGUAGGUGGAUUGUUAAGUCAGUUGUGAAAGUUUGCGGCUCAACCGUAAAAUUGCAGUUGAAACUGGCAGUCUUGAGUACAGUAGAGGUGGGCGGAAUUCGUGGUGUAGCGGUGAAAUGCUUAGAUAUCACGAAGAACUCCGAUUGCGAAGGCAGUUCACUGGACUGAAACUGACACUGAGGCUCGAAAGUGUGGGUAUCAAACAGGAUUAGAUACCCCUGUAGUC